UCCCUGGUGGCUCAGACAGUAAAGCGCCUGCCUACAAUGCGGGAGACCUGGGUUCGAUUCCUGGGUUGGGGA
rnacentral:tRNA from 1 species